AUGAAGAACGCAGCGAAAUGCGAUAAGUAAUGUGAAUUGCAGAAUUCAGUGAAUCAUCGAAUCUUUGAACGCACAUUGCGCCCGCCAGUAUUCUGGCGGGCAUGCCUGUUCGAGCGUCAUUUCAACCAUCAAGCCCCCGGCUUGUGUUGGGGACCCUGCGGCUGCCCGCAGGCCCUGAAAACCAGUGGCGGGCUCGCUGUCACUCCGAGCGUAGUAGCAUAUAUCUCGCUCAGGGCGUGCUGCGGGUUCCGGCCGUUAAAAGCCUUUUUUUUUUUACCCAAGGUUGACCUCGGAUCAGGUAGGAAGACCCGCUGAACUUAAGCAUAUAAUAAGCGGAGGA
rnacentral:misc_RNA from 1 species